rnacentral:tRNA from 1 species
GGCUCGUUGGUCAAGUGGUUAAGACACCGCCCUUUCACGGCGGUAACACGGGUUCGAAUCCCGUACGGGUCACCA